UAUUGGGCGGGCCCAUAUCACCGCUUCCUUCCUCCGUCUCGGUCACUGUUUCUCAUUUCCUUCCCCCGUUCCCCUUGCCUCCUUUAUCCAGAAGAGGCGACGAUCGCGUCAAAUCCGGCGAUUCCGGCGAUUCUUCCUUCCGCCGGCGAAUCCGUUCCGCUCCGUUCCUCCGUUCCCCUCCCUUUCUGGCGUUGAACCUGGCGAAUCUGGCAACUCUCGCAUCCCCGACUCACGCGUCGUCCUCCUCGUUGAUGGGUUCGACUGUGUUCCCCGUGAUUCCCCUAGGAAGAAGAAUCAACAAUGCGAGCUUGGUUCCAGAAGUAUUGUUGGUGGCGUGUUGUUUGUUCGAAGUUAUCUUGUCGUGUUGUCUGAUGUGGACAGACUGAUCUAUCUCUAUGUAUUGGAUGGAAUGAACCAAGUUAUGCAAGUUGAGUUAUGCCGUCUGACUAUUAUUCUCGAUUAAACUCGCAUAUUGCUUUCAUUUUUUCAAAAGAAAAACUGCUAAUUGUUUUUCAUCUCGUGUAGAGUCAGUUCUCAAGUUGGUCUGUGUGCCCAUCUCAGGGCGUGCUCCUCUGGUUGACAAGGCUAGAUCGUUCAUUGUUCAAUGUUACUGUUUGAUCUGCCUGGAUUAUUCAUUUGGUUCAUUGUGGAAAUAACUUUCUUAAGUACGAUUGUUCAAAGAUUACCUUAGUAUUUCUUCUUAGAUUACUUUAUUCCAUUAGUCAUUUCAGUUCGUGUUUGAUGCAUGAAAAAAACUUUGGAACCUACGUUUUUUACACUGUUUUGCUUGUCAAUCAUGUGAAAUUUGUGUAUUGAGAUCACAAGAAGAUUUGGAAGUUAUGUUAAAUUCCAGUCAUUGUUCAGAGAUUGCUAUGUUCCUUUUUCUGUGAGAAUGCAGCAUUGUUCAUUCUAUCAGUAUUUGGUGUUAAGUUGUAUCUGUCUUAUUCUAGCAUGUUCAGUAGCAUGCUAUAAUGUUCAUUGUUCAAUAUGUAAGUAUGUUUGUUUAGUGUUUGCUGGAUGGAAUGUGGAAAUAGCAUGCUUAAGUAUUAUUGUUGAGAGAUUAGUAUUAGUAGUAUAUAUGUUAAGAGAUUAGUUUUUUUUCGUGUAAUAUUUCAGUCAUUUUGUGUUUGAUGCAUGAAUGAACAGUCCCACUAUUUACAUGGUUUGGUUUUGCUUUGCUUGCCAAUCUUGGUAGCUGUGUGUACUGAAAUUAGAAGAAGCUUUGGAAACUAUGUUUUGCUUAUAGUCUCUCUAUUGUUUAUGUCCCUUACUCUCUAAGCAUCAUUGCCCAGUCUUUAGUAUCUGUGUUCAUUCGGUGAACUCUUGCAUGGCUAUGGCUUCUUAUGUCUACUAUUUUUACAUAUAGCCUUUUUUCGUAGUUAGGGCCAUUCAUCUGAGUAUUUGAGAGGCUACUUGCAUUUCUUUUUGUCUUCAACCUUUCUUUCUUAUUGUGUUUUUAGCCUUUUUAUUUCCCAUCUUUUUUCUUCAGCUUCAUCAUUUUCUUUGUUCCUCAUAAUUUCUGUUUACAAGUUUCUCAUAUUUUGUCCAUGGCUCAUUGCAGUAUCUCUUCAUAUUGCAGUAAUUAUUAUGAUCAUUCUAUCCUUCCUUUCGGAAGUGAUAAACAAAGAGGCACUAGAGUUGGAAACUUUCUCUUGCAAGGUUGAUUUGUUUUUCAUUUGCAUCUUUUGUUUUGCUUUGACACUCAAUUUCAAGUGCACCAGGCUGUAAAUCAGUCACCCCAUCUCAUUUUGUGCCGAGAUUAUAGUUUGCUUUCUAUGAAACAGGGCCACAUCCCUUUUUUCUCUAAAAUUGACUGCCAAUUGAAUUGUAGCCAUAAGCUCUCACACUUAUGCUGAUAAUCCAAGUAGACUACUUUUGUUAGCUAUUCAAAAAAUAUUUUGCCAUAUUCCUUUGAUGCAUGCUAAAUUGUUGUUCUUAAUUUAAGUUAUUGCUGGCGUAUUUCUAUGUAUUUUUCAAGUCCUUGGCUUUUAAUUACUUUUUCCCCAGUCUUAAGUGUAAUCGCAAGAUCAGGUCUGGCUUUUCUCCAGUCUUCAGUGUCUUUCAAUUUAAAUAGUUAUUGUUGUUUUGUAUACUUGUUGUUGUUUAAUAGAUGGUCAUUUAUUUCGUUUUACUACAGCUUGAAUUUGCAGGAAAUUGUAGUUAGUAUUUUACCAUUUCUUGUGUAGCAUUUGUAGUUUCAAAUAUUCUUUUUAUUGUUUUUUAACUGCGGCCUAUCUCUUUUACAGGAAUUCCUGCUUACUAUGUUAUUUGAAAUGUUUCAAUAGUUGUUGUUCAUUUCUGCGUAUUAGUUAUUGUUUAGAAGAUUGUAAUUUAUGUUUUUCAAAUGCCAAAUGAAUUUGCAGCUCAAGAAGGUAGUGGGAUUGGGCAACUAGAAGAUUUAGGAGGGGAUGAACCUUUUGAAUAUCCCCCACAAGGUCUUCGUAAUGACCAAGGUGGUCAUAUUAGCAAGUAUAAAAUGGAAGCCCUUCUUCAUAUGACAUACCACCUUAUCAUCCCAAUGAAUUUACUUGAGUGGUUAGAUCAGCACAUUUUUGGUAAUGUGGAGCCCUAUUUCAAGCACAAGAACAAAGUUAUCAAGAUCACAAAAGAUAUGGUGGACAAAAUAUUCGAUUUCCCUGGUGGCACUGUGCCUUUUCUUUUUAGUAGUGAUGAUCCUCAAGUGAAAUCAGAAGUUUCAGAGUUAAGAAGCAAGUACAUUGAUCACCGUAACAAGAUGCCAAUAAGUAAAAUAGAAGAGUUUAUGCUUGGUGACGAAACUGAAGAUGGUUUAAUCAGAAGCUUCACUUUUUAUUUCAUAUCAACUAUUAUGUGCCCCGCAUCAUACAUCUUGGUAACAUGAAGUUCCUAUAUUCUCUAAGAGAUGUUUCUCUCAUUCCUACACUUGACUUUCAACAAUUGGCACUCGAUUUUAUGCGUGAGGAAUUAGAGCGUCAUUUUGAAAUGAUAAUGAACAGACCAAGUGUUGAGGAAAUGAACAAGCCUUCACAUAUUGGGGGAUGCCUUCCUAUUUAGGGAAUCAUUUAUCUGGAUUUUGUUGAUUUUGAUGUUAUUGAGAAUCAUCAAUCAAUUGUGGAUUAUUCUAUUCCUCGGAUAACUCAUAUUAAGAAUGAUGAUUUCGAGUAUCUUGCAUUGGUUGAUAGGAAUUAUGAGUCUAAGAAAGCAUUUGGAAUUCUAACACUUCGAGACAAAUCUCAAACACCCUAUGCUAAUGUUGGGCCUGUGAACAAUGCUCCUGUUAAUCCUUCCGAGUUUCUUUCAGUUCCUUAUGUGGAGGUUCGUGUGGAAGAAACUACUAAGGAAGAGCCAGCAGAACCAAAAGUUGAAAACAUUGUUGAUGUUAAGAACAAUUUUGGCCUGAAUUCUGCUUACAAGACACCAAUCAUUCAUGUUCGUCCUUCAGUUUUGAACAUAUAUUCUCUUGAUCAAGCUACUAGUUCACAACCUAAGGAAGAAAAGAAUCGAUCACCUCCAAGUACUCAUGAGAAUUUUUCAACUGGAAUGAAUGAAAAUAGGAGUUUUAUAAUGAUCAGCUCUUCUUCUAGAAAAGAUAGAGUCAAGUGCUUCCAAGGAACAAGACACUCCUAUUUUUUUUUACAAAAAAGACAAAACAACAUCUGAAUGUGAUGCAAGUGUUCAAAUUCAAAUGCCCUUGGAAUUUUCUGAGCAACAAGCACUAUUUUUGUGGACAUUGCUGGUCUUCCUGUUAGCUAUGAGAACUACUACAAUUCUUUUGAAGCAAGGGGUGGAACUGUAGAUGAAGUUAUGAACUCGUUUAUUCAACUUCCGAAAUUUGAAUCAAAUAUGAACUCUAACGUAAAACCUUUUAUCAAGAAAUACUGUUUCACUUCCUAUUUCACUGCUUCGAACUUUAACAUGCUUUGUAAGAUUAGUAAGAAACCUUUCAAGAAUGUGUUUAGUUUCAAGCUUGAAGAUACUGGUCCGUACCCAACAAAAUGCUUGAUGCAUGAUUCAGGCCACUAUUUGCCAGUAUACAUGGAAAACUUUGAAGGCAAAUCAAUGAAGUUUUUUAGUAUGGUAUUUUCUUAACAAAUGAGAACAUACCAAUGUACAGAAUGAUCUCUGCAUUCAAAUUAUUCAAAAGUACCUUGAAUCAAUUGAAAGAAGAAGAUCUGCCACAAAGCUACUGAUCUUAGGAUUCCUUGUCUUACAAUUGUCAAUGUGUAAUAGAAUGCCAAUUUCUGCUAGGAACAACCUUUCUUAAUGUGGGCUAGUUUUGAGUUUUAUUAUUGUCAUAUGUAAUACUAUGUUAGCACAUACUCGUACAACUACUGCACAAUUUUCUUUUGUGACUAUUGUUGGAACACUAUCAAGGUGAAAUAUUUGGAGGAGACCAAAUUAAUAUGUUCCUUUUCUUA